rnacentral:tRNA from 1 species
CGGGGCGUAGCGCAGAUGGUAGCGCGCUUGAUUUGGGAUCAAGAGGUCGGGAGUUCAAAUCUCUUCGCCCCGACCA